rnacentral:rRNA from 1 species
AUUGAACGCUGGCGGCAGGCCUAACACAUGCAAGUCGAACGAGUGGCGGACGGGUGAGUAAUGUCUGGGAAACUGCCCGAUUGAGGGGGAUAAAUACUGGAAACGGUAGCUAAUACCGCAUACCAUCGGAUGUGCCCAGAUGGGCUUAGCUUGUGGGUGAGGUAACGGCUCACCUAGACGACGAUCCCUAGCUGUUCUGAGAGGAUGAGCAGCGACCGGUGAACUUAGACACGGUCCAGACUCCUACGGGGGGGAGCAGUGGGUAAUAUUGACCAAGGGGCGGAAGCCUGAUGCAGCGAUGCCGCGUGUAAUAAGAAGGCCUUCGGUUUGUUAAGUAAUUUAAGCGGGGAGGCGUUACCCGCAGAAGAAGCUUCGGCUAACUCCUGGCCAGCAGCCGCGGGAAUAC